rnacentral:rRNA from 1 species
UACGAAGGACCCAAGCGUUAUCCGGAUUUAUUGGGUUUAAAGGGUGCGUAGGCGGUCAAGUAAGUCGAGCGGAUCGAAAUCCGCAGCUCAACUGAUCGAUGUGCCAUUGAUACUGCAUGACUUGAGUACUGAUGAGGUAGGCGGAAUUGACGGUGUAGCGGUGAAAUGCUUAGAUAUCGUCAAGAACACCGAUAGCGAAGGCAGCUUACUAAGCAGUAACUGACGCUGAUGACAC